CCUACGGGUGGCUGCAGUGAGGAAUAUUGGUCAAUGGCCGGAAGGCUGAACCAGCCAUGCCGCGUGAAGGUCAGUGCCCUAUGGGCGUUAAACUUCUUUUGUGCGGGAGCAAUAAUGGUCACGUGUGGCCAGACGAGAGUACCGUACGAAUAAGCAUCGGCUAACUCCGUGCCAGCAGCCGCGGUAAUACGGGGGGUGCACGCGUUAUCCGGAUUUAUUGGGUUUAAAGGGUGCGUAGGCUGGGAGGUAAGUCAGCGGUGAAAUGCCCCCGCUCAACGGGGUGAAGUGCCAGUGAUACUGCCGUGGUGGAAGGCGGAUGCCGUGGGAGGAAGGUGUGGUGUAGCGGGGAAAUGCAUAGA
rnacentral:rRNA from 1 species